ensembl:lncRNA
AAAAGGUUGACAAACAGGACAAGUGGGAGACUUAAAUCUGGGGAUGCUGAUUUUGGGAUAUUGAUGUGUGCGUUGAGAAAAUUAUUUAUUGGGGUUGGAUUAUGUUAUUACAUUAUAGGAUGCUAAAUGCUAAAAGGGAAACAUUGAUGUAACUUAAGUUACCAUGAACGGAGGGGACACAUGAUUAAUAACUGUUCUGUGUAAGUUUAUUUUGGGUUAUAACACAGGUUGGAUCAUCAGUGGAGAAAGUGAGUAUAAAAGGUGAUGUUCUGGUUAACACACAGGCUUUUGUUUAUAGGACGUUUCAAGGAUGCAGGCUGUGGAUGGAGCCAAGAAAGGAUUUGACAUGAUGAUUAAUUUGAUUUCAUUCCUUAAACACAGGUUUGAAGGUCCGGAGCAUGUAGACUUAAUAUGAUAUGACUAACCUUUUUUAAGGCCCUAACCUGAGUGAAGGAUUUUGAGUUUGUAACACAUGAGAUGUGUCACAAAAAGGGGGGAGUUACAGGAUUUAAGGUUUAAUUUGAAAGGGGUUUUAGGAUUACUUGAUGAUGUUUAGGUUUUUUGAUAAUUUAGGUAUGGUAAAACUGAGGCAGAAAGUGUUAUUUUCAGGUUAUUUUUGAUUUCUAGAAUAAGAGGUUAUAAUUUAGGCGUGCACAUACAGAUAUGUCAAAGGAAAAUUGUAUAUAUGUUAUCAGCUACAUGAAAUGUGUCUACGUGACGUUUACCUAAUAACUUAUGUGAUGAUAAAGUUGUUUACCGACUAGCAGCUUGCUCUCUUCUUGAACCUACAGACUUAGAAAAGGGGAACUUCAGCUCUGAGUUCUGAGAAUAACUCUGGUAUUUUUAUAAGUAGACAGGAAACACGUCGAGACCGCCGUAUAGGGCAAAUGUGUUAGAGCUUGUAAUUAAAUGUGGGCUUGAAAAGAGGAAGCAAAUUUGGUACAGGACGUGCUUGAGAUGAUCAGAUGAGAGAAAGGAGAAGAACAGAGCACAAAUACACCGAGUUGUUUAUAUUACAAAGAAGAUCAAAAGCUUGUUAGACACAGGUUAUAAUGGAAGCAUAAAAGGGAUGAGAGGAACUUUACAUAACAUAGAAAUCCUGCAACAAUUCGUAAAUUGCCCAAACACAGUGUUCAGACCGGAUAUGCGCUACCCGUUAAAGGGGGCGAAGAAAUCAGGCCUAAGUUUGAAAAAUGAAAUGGGUUAACUCGAUAGAGGAUGUUUCCAAAGGUAGAGAAAAUAAUGUAGGACCUUUUACCAGGAGAAAGCUAACUGUAUCUUUUACACUUUACAGUGUGCAUUGAGGGAAGUCAGGAAUAGUUUAAAUUAGGAUUGAAAAAAUUAAACUAGGUGAAAAGGGGGUGUAGCAAGUAGAUUUAGGGCAGUUCACAGCCUGGCGUAAACGCAAGGUGCCGUCACACAGCUUAAGUUAUUUGUUUGAUUUAUUUUAUGACAAAAUAAUACCAGUAAUAUUGUUUACAGGGUUCAUAUUGCAUUGCAUAGGUUUGUCAUCACAUUCAUUCUAUUCACAGGUUGCUUUGUUUCUGCUUAGCAACUACUGAGGUAAAUGGUGUUAAAGAUAAAUAUGCAAUAAGUGAACAAGAAAUGUGUGAGGGUGAGCCGGGUGAAACAAAAUGUUGUAGAUGAUGGAAACUUGUCUAACGGGCAUUAACAGUAACCUUUGCAUGUUAUGUAUAUGCUUGAAGCCAAAGGAGGCAUAAAUCCAGAUAGAAAACUUUGAAGUGUGCUUUUUAGCGGAGAUUUAGGCUGACAGGGGGACGGUGUGCAUUUUACUUGGGUUGUGUUUAAUAAGACUAAAAGCGUUGCUCACACACAUAAAGAGUAUUGAGAUUAAAUAAAGUUAAUAUAAUGGAUAGAGCCCAGAACAGGAUAAUACAUAAGUAAAAUCAAAUGUAAUGUUUGAUUUCACUUUUAUUGGGAAAAUAAUUAGCCAAGAAAUGUGUAUUGAAUUCUCCACAUACUUUGAAACUGCGCAACUCUGAGUGGGCAAUGUAAUGAAGCAACUGUUACAUAUUUGCAUUAAACUAGCCAACAUAGACUCACCACCACAUGAUGUUGC